UUAAGGCGAGUACAUAGUGGUUUGUCACGGGUUAUUUGUCCAAGGUACUGCGGUAAGUGUUCACCUUACAGCAUUCAGUGUGUCGGUAAACCUCGAACGAUCGCCGCGGACUCUCACGUCCUUUGCAAAUGAAAAAUUGUACUCGGUGCAUAGUGAUACAUAAACAAACAUGUACGCCUAUGGACUUUAUAGGGACUCUGGCGUGGCGUGGUGUCUGUGCUCUUCCAGUGCCUAACUUUACUAAUUUGAGGAUAUCGCAGUGAAUAUUUUUCCUAAGUGUUAUGGAGUUUCAAUAUUAUGGAAAUUAUGACCGACCUCCAUCGCGCCGUAUCCAGGACCAGCCCUGGUGGGAUGAGGAGGAUAAUCUGUCAGACAGACGAAUUAAUGGUAAGACA